CGCUCCGGUGUCCUAAUGGUUAGGGCGUCCGACUCAGAUGCGGGAGGUCGUAGGUUAGAACCCCGGCUGAGUUA